GGAAGGGACCUUGGAGGUCUUCUAGUCCAGCCCCCUGCUCAAGCAGGAGAUCCUGCACCAUUUCAGACAAUGUCUGUAGCACAUUGUAGCAUUUUUUGGGGAUGCUGAGUUUUCCACCAAGCCCGGUUUGAAGCCAGCCUCUCUAUUCUCCUUCCCACAAAAAACAUUGUGAAAGAGUGUGCUGGCUGGUCACUGUAUGGGAUAUGCAGAACCUUUUAAAUCCAGGGGCUCGUGCUAGUCUCAUUUACAGGGCAAUGAUUUGGGCUCAUUUAAUCCUAUAAUUUUAAUUUAGAGUUUAAUCCUAUAUUCCUGCUUUUGGAAUUCUAUAUUAUACCUUUAUACAUUAUAUUGAAGUUAUACUAUGUGACACUGUGUUAUAGGAAUUAUAGAAACAAAGUUUACUUCACAGAAUAACAGGGCUGGAAGAGACCUUGGAGGUCUUCUAGUCUGACUUCUACUCCCUCUCAGGAAGGAAACUCUUUAUACCAAUCCACUUCAGACAAAUGGUUGAACAAUCUCUUCUUGAAAACUUCCAGUGUUGGUUUGCCUAAUUGGAAGUUGUUUAUUCUCACAGGUUUUGAUUUCCUUUGAAUUUUAAUUGUCUUGACUGAAAGUCUGUUUUUUUAGUCUUUGGCUUUAUGAGACCAUUUUAAAAUUGGAGCCAGGUUGAUUGUGAAGAUGAGUUCUACCACUUCCAGAGAUGAAGAAGAAAAAGACACGUUUAAAAUUUUAAUUGCUACAGACAUUCACCUAGGAUAUAUGGAGAAAGAUGCUUGUCGGGGAAAUGAUACUUUUGUAACCUUUGAUGAAAUAUUGAAACUUGCUCAGGAUAA